UACAGUAAAAGCUGGGGAGGUGUGUAGGGCUCCAGUCUUUGGGUUCACAGCUUGGCUCUACAUUCAUUGCUGGAGGAAUCCAAGCCUCACAAAAGACCGCUUUUAAAGAAAAACUCUAUUUUUCUUAGAAGAACUAGAAUAUGUAACACCAUUGUGAGAAAUAAAACCCCAAGGUGAACAAGAUUGAAAGUGAAGGCAGCGCUCUAAGGAGGAAGCCAGCUGGCUUGAAUGGUGAUGUAAACAGCCUUGGAGCUUUAACCAAACUUGAGUAAGAACUCCCUGACUUGGAAACACUCAAGUUUCCCACACAUGACUGGAUGGCCCUGGCCACACUGGGAACGGAAUGGGGGCCUCCCAUUGGAACUCAGGGUGGAGGGGGAAGCUCGACCAGCUAUUGUGGCCCCCACUUCCAUUGACAAAAUGUGGUGGUGAGACUUGCUCUUGGAUGCUGUCAGGAAGUAUCAUCUGACUGCGUUUGCUACCCUGGGGGAGACAAACAAAACUUGAGUGAAGGAAAAUGAGAACUCACCUGAAACCAAGAAGAGUCUUUGGAAAAGGAUUUUUGUAUACAAGUGAAAUCACAAUGACAUCAAUAAUCCUGAAUUUCUUCUUCACACUCACUCAUGAAAAGUCUCCGAUUUUCCCACCUUGCUCAGCCACCUUAAGUGCCUUCCUUCAAGAUAUUUCCUACUGCUUCUAAAGAGGAUCUCCCAUUGGCUUGGGAGCAGCGUGAAAUGCAGAUCUGUAGGGAUACAGACAAAGAACAUAUGUAAACCCUUGGGAAUGGACAAUGAUGAAAUGACCCCAAACAUGAUUAUUCCUUGCUACUUCCUGAAAUCUGUUCCUCAAAUCCCCAAACUAACAGUUCCCUGAAUUUACAGUUCACAAAAGUGUUCAAGGGUUUUCAGACCCUUCGCCUGGCUCCACAGAAAGUGCGGAAGGGAGGGAUUUUAAAGAUGUGCACAAGUGGGUCAGCCAAGGUUCACUUCUUGAGAUCUUCCAGAUAUUUAUUAGGAGUUCAUGGGAGGGGAUGUUCAUUUCUGUAGACACAGGAUGGAUUUUUCAAAAUGUAAAGUGCAGGUACUUUUAAGUCUAUGGCUAGACUGAGAUAAGCAUGUCUGCUGAUGAUGGAAUUGUUCAGAUGUAGCCUGUCUAGUUUACUCAGAGGCCACCAAGCAAAGCCAGAGGAGCAGUGGGAGGCAUGCCAGGAAGUUGACAUUGAAGCGACUUUCCCAGGCUCCAGAGGCAACAAUCAGGUGAGCCCAUCCUCUCCAUAAGGAGGGCUAUGCUGACCAACUGGAAGCUUGGGGAGCAUGGUCUAGUGUGGGCUAGCCCAGCAUCAAGGAGAGAAGGCCAUUCUAGGGUAGCAUGUGAAAUAUGUGCACCUUGACUCCAUUGUGCUUGUUUCCUAGGCUUUAAUGGGGCUUAUAAACACUCAGUCUGCUUAUAAACACUCAGUUGGAUAAUUAGCAAAUGUUUAUUUGCUAUUGUGUGCAUAAAGCACUAUGCUAGACACUGGGGCCAUUCAGGGCAACCUGGCUAGGGUGGUGUUUUCUAUGUUUGCCCUUCUACCACCUAUCCUGAUACAUAUGUCUCUCUAUAUAUAGCAAGAAAAAGCAAAUAUGUGCUCUUUUCUUUCCAGAAUCUCUUGUUUGCGGCCCUUUUCCUAAAUCAGUCAGAGGUAUAUGCAUUCUUUGGAGAAAAAUUUAAAUUGUUAGAAAAAAAGAGACAAAAAUUUAUUUCUCUUUAAAUUUCCCAAAUCAGCUCUUUUGCCCUCUUAUUAAAUUGAGGUAUGACAUGCCUACAGUGAGU
rnacentral:lncRNA from 1 species